CCCUUAGAUGUUCUGGGCCGCACGCGCGCUACACUGAUGCAUUCAACAAGCCUAGCCUUGACCGAGAGGUCCGGGUAAUCUUUGAAACUGCAUCGUGAUGGGGCUAGAUUAUUGCAAUUAUUAAUCUUCAACGAGGAAUGCCUAGUAAGCGUGAUUCAUCAAAUCGCGUUGAUUACGUCCCUGCCCUUUGUACACACCGCCCGUCGCUCCUACCGAUUGAAUGUGUUGGUGAGGAGCUCGGAUUGGCAGCAGUUGGUGGUUCGCCACCGGCUAUUGCUGAGAAGUCCUCCAAACCGCCCCACUUAGAGGAAGGAGAAGUCGUANCA
rnacentral:rRNA from 1 species